rnacentral:tRNA from 1 species
GGGCUCUUAGCUCAGUUGGGAGAGCGCCUGCCUUGCAAGCAGGAGGUCGCCGGUUCGAACCCGGCAGGGUCCACCA